rnacentral:tRNA from 2 species
GCCCGGAUGGUGGAAUUGGUAGACACGCUGGACUUAAAAUCCAGUAGUCAUUGCGACUGUGCGGGUUCAAGUCCCGCUCCGGGUA